rnacentral:rRNA from 1 species
GAUGAACGCUGGCGGCGUGCCUAAUACAUGCAAGUCGAGCGAACGGACGCUAAUCUUGCUUCUCUCUUGUUAGCCGCGGGCGUGUGAAUCACACGUGUAUACCCUCCCUAUCUUACUGGUAUCACUUCGAGACUCCGGAUCUUAUCCCGUAUAAUCUUUUGCUCCGCGUUGUUCAAUAGUGAAUUUCGGUCUUUCUGUCACUUCUAGCUGCUUCCGCGCUGCAUUAGCUAGUUGGUAAGGUAACAGCUUACCAAGGCAACGAUGCAUAGCCGACCUGAGAGGGUGAUCGGCCACACUGGAACUGAGACACGGUCCAGACUCAUACGGGAGGCAGCAGUAGGGAAUCUUCCGCAAUGGGCGAAAGCCUGACGGAGCAACGCCGCGUGAGUGAUGAAGGUCUUCGGAUCGUAAAACUCUGUUAUUAGGGAAGAACAGAUGUGUAAGUAACUGUGCACAUCUUGACGGUACCUAAUCAGAAAGCCACGGCUAACUACGUG